rnacentral:rRNA from 1 species
UGGGGAAUAUUGCACAAUGGGCGCAAGCCUGAUGCAGCGACGCCGCGUGCGGGAUGGAGGCCUCGGUGUAAACCGCUUUGUUCAAGGGCAAGGCACGGCUUC